rnacentral:misc_RNA from 1 species
GAUGAAGAACGUAGCGAAAUGCGAUACGUAAUGUGAAUUGCAGAAUUCAGUGAAUCAUCGAGUCUUUGAACGCACAUUGCGCCACCUGGUAGUCCGGGGGGCAUGCCUGUCCGAGCGUCAUUGCUGCCCUCAAGCACGGCUUGUGUGUUGGGCCUCCGUCCUCCUCCCGGGGGACGGGCCCGAAAGGCAGCGGCGGCACCGCGUCCGGUCCUCGAGCGUAUGGGGCUUCGUCACCCGCUCUUGUAGGCCCGGCCGGCGCUUGCCGACACAUCAAUCUUUUUUCCAGGUUGACCUCGGAUCAGGUAGGGAUACCCGCUGAACUUAAGCAUAUCAAUAAGCGGAGGA